AUUGAAGCCUUCAUGCCUUGGUAGUCUUUUGACUCAACUCGAAUAGCCUACCUAUUGGGCACCAAUAAGAGAGUUUUCAUAUGGACUCAUCAUCUGAAGUAGGGAUUGAUAGCUUUCAUGGACGGAUGGAAAUGAUUGACCAAAGUACAAAAAUAAUAUUUGAAUGAGGAAAUUCAAAUAUUACUAUAUGCUAACUAAUACGCACGUGUAAAAUGUUAAGCCCCAGCAAAAAUAACAAGCAUAUAUACCAUGUGAAUCUCCUUCAGCCAAGCAACUACAGAUUGAAUAUUUUAUAUUACGAAGGAAGGUAUAGUAGAGGCCAUAAAAGGAUAAGAGCAAGACUUGAGUGAAACUGCAGGAACAAAUCCAAAAUAGGUUUCAAUUCCAAUGGUGAAAUGUUUGUUUUCACUUUUAUGAUUGGUUGUUUUCAGACGUGAUAGAUGAAUAUCAAUCGACUUUGAGAAAAAAUUUGUGUAAAGGUGGUGGCAGAUGAGUGUCGGUCGGCUUUGAAUUGUGUAAAGCUUAGAUUUAGUUGUAUUAUUUUGGUAUAUCUAUUAUCAUAUUGUUUUGUUUUAGUUUAUUGGUAAUAGAUGAAUGUCGGUCAGUUUUGAGGAAAGUUUUGUAUAAAGGUUAGGUUUAAUUGUGUCGUUUUGAUAUCUGUAUUAUCGUGUUAAUUGUUUUAUUGUAGUUUACAUGUGGUAGA